UGGGGAAUAUUGCACAAUGGGCGCAAGCCUGAUGCAGCCAUGCCGCGUGUGUGAAGAAGGCCUUCGGGUUGUAAAGCACUUUCAGCGGGGAGGAAGGCGGUGAGGUUAAUAACCUCAUCGAUUGACGUUACCCGCAGAAGAAGCACUGGCUAACUCCGUGCCAGCAGCCGCGGUAAUACGGAGGGUGCAAGCGUUAAUCGGAAUUACUGGGGGUAAAGCGCACGCAGGCGGUCUGUCAAGUCGGAUGUGAAAUCCCCGGGCUCAACCUGGGAACUGCAUUCGAAACUGGCAGGCUAGAGUCUUGUAGAGGGGGGUAGAAUUCCAGGUGUAGCGGUGAAAUGCGUAGAGAUCUGGAGGAAUACCGGUGGCGAAGGCGGCCCCCUGGACAAAGACUGACGCUCAGGUGCGAAAGCGUGGGGAGCAAACAGG
rnacentral:rRNA from 1 species